UUCUAUCUCUAUCAUAUGAAUGCCUCCGCCUUUAUGGUUAGGCAGAGGGUUGUUGCAAACAUUAGGAAUAGGAUCCUUUGCCACAAUGAUCUUGUUGUCAAUCAAAGACUGGAUCUUAUCCUUCAGUGAGUGUCGCACCUCCUUUUUCACUACACCCCGCAAGAGCGUAAAAGAGUUUUUCUACUUAAAGGAUAAUCGGAACGGGAUUGAUUAAUAAGAUUCAUAGUCGCCACUUAGGAGAUUAAUGGUGUCCC
rnacentral:lncRNA from 1 species